AAAUAUUAGGGAUAAUAAGGGAGGAAGUUUGUGUUCUCUUCACGAGUUAAGAGAUGUUUGAUUAGCAUUUCCUGAUUAGGUAAAGUAAAGCACAAGUAAGAUAGACUUCGAUCAACAACAAAAUAGUUGAAUUCCUUACCAAUGCAAAGCAUUCAAAAGUAAUUAAAUUGAUCCAUAUUAUAGAGAUUCAGAAUAUAGAAGAUAAAACCAUAAUGCUUAGAAACAUCCAUUAUAACUUUCAAAAACAUGCAAGGUGAACAAAAAAUAUAUGCAAGUUAUUAGCAUUCAAGUCAUCAAACAUGAAGCUGAGCACAUUUUAGAAGGUCCCUAAUUUAGUCAGGUAACAAAGGUUGAACAAUCAUGAUAUAUCCCAGCAGCCAGAUUCUUUCUUGUCAGAACUAGAGGUUCAACACUGAAAGUGGAAAAAUAACUUAUAAUGAACCUAAAGCAUAUACUAGAAGCAAGGCCAGGGAGUAAAUGGUGGUACCAUUUAACCAAGUGCACUUCAACAGCCAUUGGCCAUUGCUAGUCCUAUAUCACUUUUUUAACAAUUUGUUGCUGCAAGGGUAUUUUAGAAGAGCCCCUGUUGCAAGUGUUCUUUAGAUCAGUGAAAUAUUUCGGCAACACUAACAAAAAGGUAUUUAGUCAUAUCUUAACUACUUAUGUUAAAUCUAUAAAGUACAAACAAACUAUGUUACUGAUUAGACACCCAUUUCUCUUUAUGGACCAGAUGACUCCAUCAAAUUUUUGUAGAACAAUGUGAUGACAUUUAAGUUUCAGUUCCUGAAUAAUAGAUUAAUAGUCACUCAAACCCAAAAUCAACUGCAAUCCAGCCUGACAACAAACAACAAAACAACAAAAAUGAGUAGCCACUAGGUAUACAAGCACAAUAAUUUGCAUAAUCAGAAAAACGCUUUCGUUUAUAUGGAUAGAUGGAAUUCCUGUUAUGUGCUUACCGCUACAGCAAUUACAGAUAGAAUUAUGCAAGUGUGGCAUAUGGGGCAGGCAACAACGCAGUUCUUUUGGCAAAGCUUUGAUAGUUAGCUUUUAACAGGGUCCAUAUAGAAAACACGAUAAAGGCACUUGAAUUAUGAGAUAGUUUAGGGAGGCCACACACAGGUAUUGAUUCAAAAGAGAAUCUAAUUGUCUAGAGUCAUAUUUGAGUGAAAAAUCCAACCAUUAUAGGCAAGAUAAAAAGCGUUGAUCAGCACAAACAAGAGCAUAGCAUUAUCUCAUUAUAUAUCAGAGUGCAUAACAUGUUAAUUGUUGCCAAGCACGGGUAAUCGAUCCAAAAGGGAAUCUUAUUGUCUAGAUCCUAUUUGCAUGACAGAGCCAACCAUAAUAAGUAAUCUAAAAAGCCUUGAUCAGCACAAACAAA
rnacentral:misc_RNA from 1 species